UCAUCGACAGCCUGGUGUGUGAUAAAGUGCUUACAGUGCAGGUAGUGAUGAUUACCUGGUCUACUGCAGUGUGAGCACUUCUUUCCCACGCCGGACCAACUCGUC
rnacentral:pre_miRNA from 1 species